rnacentral:rRNA from 1 species
AUUGAACGCUGGCGGCAGGCCUAACACAUGCAAGUCGAGCGGAUGAAGGGAGCUUGCUCCUGGAUUCAGCGGCGGACGUGUGAGUAAUGCCUAGGAAUCUGCCUGGUAGUGGGGGAUAACGUCCGGAAACGGGCGCUAAUACCGCAUACGUCCUGAGGGAGAAAGUGGGGGAUCUUCGGACCUCACGCUAUCAGAUGAGCCUAGGUCGGAUUAGCUAGUUGGUGGGGUAAAGGCCUACCAAGGCGACGAUCCGUAACUGGUCUGAGAGGAUGAUCAGUCACACUGGAACUGAGACACGGUCCAGACUCCUACGGGAGGCAGCAGUGGGGAAUAUUGGACAAUGGGCGAAAGCCUGAUCCAGCCAUGCCGCGUGUGUGAAGAAGGUCUUCGGAUUGUAAAGCACUUUAAGUUGGGAGGAAGGGCAGUAAGUUAAUACCUUGCUGUUUUGACGGUACCAACAGAAUAAGCACCGGCUAACUUCGUG